rnacentral:lncRNA from 10 species
GCUGUAGUUCCCCGGCUGGAUGCGGUGACUGGUGCCAGUGCUCAGGCGCCCGCUGCCCUUGACCUCCCGCCCCGCGAGCCCUAACUCAGCGCAGGAGGACCGGCUGCCGCCGCCGCCGCCGCCAGGUAGACCAGGCCUGGCUGGGUUAGGCCAGAAGGGUGUCCCUGGCGCAGGUCUCCCGCGGAGGGCAGAACUAGAACCAGGUUCCCGGCCGUUUCCGACCACACGGAUGGGGCGGACCCAUAUCCACACAACUUAAAGAUCUGCUGUCGAGUGAAUGGGGAAGUGGUCCAGAGCAGCAACACCAACCAGAUGGUAUUCAAGACAGAGGACCUGAUAGCCUGGGUGUCCCAGUUUGUUACCUUUUACCCAGGGGAUGUCAUCCUGACUGGGACCCCCCCACCUCCACCCAGGUGUCGGUGUAUUCAGGAAACCUCCUGUCUUUCUCAAGGUCUCUGAAGGUCCAGACAGCACUGAUGGCGAGCUUUGGGUCCGCACACUCUGGAAAGA